rnacentral:rRNA from 1 species
UGGGGAAUAUUGCACAAUGGGCGCAAGCCUGAUGCAGCCAUGCCGCGUGUAUGAAGAAGGCCUUCGGGUUGUAAAGUACUUUCAGCGGGGAGGAAGGCGAUAAGGUUAAUAACCUUGUCGAUUGACGUUACCCGCAGAAGAAGCACCGGCUAACUCCGUGCCAGCAGCCGCGGUAAUACGGAGGGUGCAAGCGUUAAUCGGAAUUACUGGGCGUAAAGCGCACGCAGGCGGUCUGGCAAGUCGGAUGUGAAAUCCCCGGGCUCAACCUGGGAACUGCAUUCGAAACUGGCAGGCUAGAGUCUUGUAGAGGGGGGUAGAAUUCCAGGUGUAGCGGUGAAAUGCGUAGAGAUCUGGAGGAAUACCGGUGGCGAAGGCGGCCCCCUGGACAAAGACUGACGCUCAGGUGCGAAAGCGUGGUGAGCAAACA